rnacentral:rRNA from 1 species
UCCUACGGGAGGCAGCAGUGGGGAAUAUUGCACAAUGGGCGCAAGCCUGAUGCAGCCAUGCCGCGUGUGUGAAGAAGGCCUUCGGGUCGUAAAGCACUUUCAGUCGUGAGGAAGGUAGUGUAGUUAAUAGCUGCAUUAUUUGACGUUACCUACAGAAGAAGCACCGGCUAACUCCGUGCCAGCAGCCGCGGUAAUACGGAGGGUGCGAGCGUUAAUCGGAAUUACUGGGCGUAAAGCGCAUGCAGGCGGCCUGUUAAGUCAGAUGUGAAAGCCCGGGGCUUAACCUCGGAAUUGCAUUUGAAACUGGCAGGCUAGAGUCUUGUAGAGGGGGGUAGAAUUUCAGGUGUAGCGGUGAAAUGCGUAGAGAUCUGAAGGAAUACCAGUGGCGAAGGCGGCCCCCUGGACAAAGACUGACGCUCAGAUGCGAAAGCGUGGGGAGCAAACAGGAUUAGAUACCCUGGUAGUCCACGCCGUAAACGAUGAGUGCUAAGUGUUAGAGGGUUUCCGCCCUUUAGUGCUGAAGUUAACGCAUUAAGCACUCCGCCUGGGGAGUACGGCCGCAAGGCUGAAACUCAAAGGAAUUGACGGA